GCCUAAACAGCAGCAGGUACUUAGGGAUCCAGCAGCAGUACACCAGCAUGGGAUGUCACGGAAGGCAUCAGCAUUCACGAGAGCAGCCACGGGGAGUUGACUAGCGGGGCUGAAUCCAACAGGCAGCAGGCAAUGGACCUCCGAAUCUGGGGACGCCGGCUGAUGGCUGCGUUCCUGCACGGAUGAAGGAGACCAUCCGCAGGAGGAGCAGGCAAGGAUUCCUGCAGAUGUGCGUGAGCAGAGACUCCAGCGGACCCGAGCUGGACGGGAGGAGGUGAAUCCUGAUCGAACGCAGCACUGGAGAAGCUGCACCAGGGGGCGACUUGGACGGGAUAGCAGCAGGGGCAUUGGCCUAAACAGCAGCAGGUACUUAGACGGGAUCCAGCAGCAGUACACCAGCAUGGGAUGUCACGGAAGGCAUCAGCAUUCACCAGAGCAGCCACGGGGAGUUGACUAGCGGGGCUGAAUCCAACAGGCAGCAGGCAAUGGACCUCCGAAUCUGGGGACGCCGGCUGAUGGCUGCGUUCCUGCACGGAUGAAGGAGACCAUCCGCAGGAGGAGCAGGCAAGGAUUCCUGCAGAUGUGCGUGAGCAGAGCAGUAGCAGCAGUCGGAGCACCGACGCAGGAUUGGAAGCGGCAGUUGGCUGGAGAAAGUAGCAGCGGUGGCCGACGCAAGAAUUGGAUCGGAA
rnacentral:lncRNA from 1 species